GAUCAUGGCUCAGGACGAACGCUGGCGGCGUGCUUAACACAUGCAAGUCGAACGAGAAUCUGUGGAUCGAGGAUUCGUCCAAGUGAAGCAGAGGACAGUGGCGGACGGGUGAGUAACGCGUGAGGAACCUGCCUUUCAGAGGGGGACAACAGUUGGAAACGACUGCUAAUACCGCAUGAUACGUUUUAGGGGCAUCCCUAAGACGUCAAAGAUUUAUCGCUGAAAGAUGGCCUCGCGU
rnacentral:rRNA from 1 species